rnacentral:rRNA from 1 species
GUGGGGAAUCUUGCGCAAUGGGCGAAAGCCUGACGCAGCCAUGCCGCGUGAAUGAUGAAGGUCUUAGGAUUGUAAAAUUCUUUCACCGGGGACGAUAAUGACGGUACCCGGAGAAGAAGCUCCGGCUAACUUCGUGCCAGCAGCCGCGGUAAUACGAAGGGGGCUAGCGUUGCUCGGAAUUACUGGGCGUAAAGGGCGCGUAGGCGGACAGCUUAGUCAGAGGUGAAAGCCCAGGGCUCAACCUUGGAAUUGCCUUUGAUACUGGCUGUCUUGAGUUUGGGAGAGGUGAGUGGAACUCCGAGUGUAGAGGUGAAAUUCGUAGAUAUUCGUAAGAACACCAGUGGCGAAGGCGACUCACUGGCCCAAUACUGACGCUGAGGCGCGAAAGCGUGGGGAGCAAACAGGAUUAGAAACCCGAGUAGUCC